UUGGAUGAUGAAAUGCACUGGGCGCUGAGCAGUUCUUCUGCAUAUAUUUGAAGUAAAUGCACUUGCCUAGAAAGCAUUGGCUGACAU
rfam:Musa acuminata subsp. malaccensis Doubled-haploid Pahang (DH-Pahang) genomic chromosome, chr11